rnacentral:rRNA from 1 species
GGAUUAGAUACCCUGGUAGUCCACGCCGUAAACGAUGGACACUAGCUGUGGGGCCUUAGGGCUCCGUGGCCAAGCGAAAGUGAUAAGUGUCCCACCUGGGGAGUACGUUCGCAAGAAUGAAACUCAAAGGAAUUGACGGGGGCCCGCACAAGCGGUGGAGCAUGUGGUUUAAUUCGAUGAUACGCGAGGAACCUUACCAGGGCUUAAAUGCAGUCUGCAUGGGACAGAGACGUCCCUUUCUUCGGACCGAUUGCAAGGUGCUGCAUGGUUGUCGUCAGCUCGUGUCG